rnacentral:rRNA from 1 species
AGUGAACGCUGGCGGUAGGCCUAACACAUGCAAGUCGAACGGCAGCACAGUAAGAGCUUGCUCUUACGGGUGGCGAGUGGCGGACGGGUGAGGAAUACAUCGGAAUCUACUUUUUCGUGGGGGAUAACGUAGGGAAACUUACGCUAAUACCGCAUACGACCUACGGGUGAAAGCAGGGGAUCUUCGGACCUUGCGCGAUUGAAUGAGCCGAUGUCGGAUUAGCUAGUUGGCGGGGUAAAGGCCCACCAAGGCGACGAUCCGUAUCUGGUCUGAGAGGAUGACCAGCCACACUGGAACUGAGACACGGUCCAGACUCCUACGGGAGGCAGCAGUGGGGAAUAUUGGACAAUGGGCGCAAGCCUGAUCCAGCCAUACCGCGUGGGUGAAGAAGGCCUUCGGGUUGUAAAGCCCUUUUGUUGGGAAAGAAAAGCAGCAGGUUAAUACCCCGCUGUUCUGACGGUACCCAAAGAAUAAGCACCGGCUAACUUCGUG